rnacentral:rRNA from 1 species
UACCAGCUCCUCGAGUGGUCGGGGCGAUUAUUGGGCCUAAAGCAUCCGUAGCUUGUUCCGUAGGUCUCCUGAUAAAUCCAACUGCUCAACAGUUGGCCCGCAGGAGAUACCGCGGGACUAGGAGGCGGGAGAGGUGGACGGUACUCCACGUGUAGGGGUAAAAUCCUUUGAUCCGUGGAAGACCACCAGAUUCCCUGCAGGAUUAUUUCCUACAGGCAAGGUGAUUGGCGAAGGCGGUCCACCAGAACGCGCUCGACGGUGAGGGAUGAAAGCUGGGGGAGCGAACCGG